AUUUGUCUGGUUAAUUCCGAUAACGAACGAGACCUUAACCUGCUAACUAGAUUCUUCUAUACUAUAGAUGAUAUCUUCUUAGAGGGACUAUGUAAUACAAAUACAUGGAAGUUUGAGGCAAUAACAGGUCAGUGAUGCCCUUAUAUGUCCUGGGCUGCACGCGUGCUACACUGAUGCAUACAACAAGUGCCUAACCAGACAUGGUAUGGCAAUCUCGAAUAUGCAUCGUGAUGGGGAUAGAUCUUUGCAAUUAUAGACCUUGAACGAGGAAUUCCUAGUAAGUGCAAGUCAUCAUCUUGCAUUGAUUAUGUCCCUGCCCUUUGUACACACCGCCCGUCGCUCCUACCGAUACCGGGUGAUCCGGUGAACCUUUUGGACUCAUUUGGGAAAGAUAAGUAAACCAUAUCACCUAGAGGAAGGAGAAGUCGUAACAAGGUUUCCGUAGGUGAACCUGCRGAAGGAUCA
rnacentral:rRNA from 1 species